ensembl:lncRNA
AUGCAGUCCAGAAUGGCAUCACAUCUGAAAGAUGUACAUCUUCCUCUCAACUCAUCAAUUCUCACUAAUUACAUCUCUGGUGGCGACAAUCUCAACCCCGUCCCCAAUUACAGCCGGACAUUGGAAGAUGCUAUUCCAGCAGGAGUUUAAAAUGAAUGACUUUAACUGAACCAAGCUUGUGUACCUCACUACAGAUAUGAAAGCCAUUAAAUAUAAAGUCAUUACAGAAAUCUGUCACUGGAGAAAAAAAAGAAUAAAAAAAGCACCUUGAGACAGCUGUUUCCUGCCUGUAAUUAAUCUCAGUGUCCCCAAAAUAGGAUAAAGACAAGAACAGGAAACUGCAGCACACCAUGUUGAUCAGUUACAUGUUCCCAGUUCCUUGAUAACGUCUUUACACUUCAUUGUGUAGCUUUUCCAAAUUACGGAGUAAAGGGGGUCAGUAACAGACAGAAAGGGUCAGAAAGAAUAUCAUAUUACAUGUUAACCUGUCAGCAUAGGUUACUUUAAAAAAAAAAUUUGAAAAUAGAAUUUAACUGAAUAAAACCCAACAACUUUUUUUCAACAACUUUUAACCAAUACAAAGGAGGUUUGGGAUGUGAUGUAAAAUCCUGUAAAAUCAGAAACACAAAAUCUCAACAUUCUUUUUAAAACUCUUUAAUUGUUUUCAGAUUUUCUUGCCUUUGUUAUACAAAGAUGUUAAAUAACUUAAAUACAUUCUUACCAGUCAUUCAUGAUCAGUUUAUACCUACAAGCUAUACACAUGAGGUAGAGGAAAAUAAUUUAGAGGAAAAUAGUUUCCCACAAGACAAGAAAAAGUGGACAAAGACAAACUACUGACAAAAACUCUGCCCUUAAAAGAAAAAGAAUGCCUUUUAAUAGUUACAGCAUUGCACAAACCCUGACAAAAAUCAGAAUAGUGACCAAGCCAUUGGAAUUUAUGGAAAAAAUUACUGUGCAUUUGUUCAAUGCUAAGUAUCUGUGAUCCACUCUCAAUGAAUGUAGGUCUAAAACAAUCAACUGACUUGCUAGUUGUUUAUUUUUUAUAUAAUCAACAUAGUAGUAUAAAAUAGUAUAACAUUUUACAGCCUUUAUGCUACAAAUGAUGAAAUUGCUACAGCUAACUGGGACACAUAUAGUAUUAUUGUGGGUGUGUAGUUUUGUGUUGGUUACAAACUAAAUAUUGUUAAUCUUUGGUAUACAUUCCUUAUAAUAAAUAAGGACAACGUUGCAUUUCAGACAUAAGAGCAGAACUGAAUUUUACAGGGAUUGUAUUGUUUUUUAUCUUGGGGGGAAUUUUUUUAUUUUAACCACCGGGAGCAAUUAAGUUGUAGGAGAAAAAUGUAUACCGCAACCCUAGAAAGCAAAUACCCAAUAACAGGCAAAAUGCAAGAAAAUAUAUAGAAAAUCAUCUUGAACUUUACAAAAUAUACAAUUAACACAUACUCAUAAAACAUUUCAAAAUAAGUUAUAUUUUGUCUCUGUGUCCAUUUCCCUACCAAAUACAUUUUAUACAGCUUGCAUUGGAAAAGGAUGAAUAUGGAACCAAGACAACAACAAAAAGAAACGUAUAUGCUUUCACAAUGCCUUCUGUCAAUGAAAAAAAUAUAUUACU